UCCACGCCGUAAACGAUGAGAACUAGUUGUUGGGGGUAUUAAAAACCUUUAGUGACGAAGCUAACGCGAUAAGUUCUCCGCCUGGGGAGUACGGCCGCAAGGUUGAAACUCAAAGGAAUUGACGGGGGCCCGCACAAGCGGUGGAGCAUGUGGUUUAAUUCGAUGCAACGCGAAGAACCUUACCUGGCCUUGACAUUGAUGGAAUCCUUUGGAAACUUAGGAGUGUCUUCGGACCCUGAAAAC
rnacentral:rRNA from 1 species